AUAGGGCUUGGGAUCGGCAAUGGAGAUAUAGACAUCGGAAGGCUUUUAUCAGGGUUCUGUUCGAAGGGUCAACAUUGUAGCAGCCAACCUCCUAGGAAUGGUUGGUUGUAAUGGCAAAAAAUCUCUAGUCUGAUUAGGGAUAAGGAUUGGCUAAGAAUUUUAGAGAAUAGUCAUGCCUUUUCUGGCUCAAUAUUUGGUACCCUGA
rnacentral:lncRNA from 1 species